GGCGUCCUUAAUCUACAUCAACUGAGGUGGGACAAAAACAGCACUGUACUUGGUUUGCGCUCUGUGCCCUGAAGCAGAAAUGCCUUUAAUUGUUCAUUGCAAAAUAAACAGAUGUCUAGUGGAGAAGGUUAUUAAAAAUAUGUUGUGCAUUUUGGGAGAACUGGAGGUCAGGAUGGCUUGACCUAGCAUCUCACAGCAAACCCAAGUCAAGUAAGCCACCAAGGUAACAUAGCCUAUUCUUAGGGCAAAAUUUUCUGGUUGGCUAAUUUCUGGAUAUUAUUAAAAGGGACAGUACAUUUUGAAAAUAGAAUGAUGGCCAUCCUCAGGCAGGCGAAUUCUACUUUAAAAACAGAAGAUGUAAUGUGUCAGAUUCAAAUCAUAAGGAAAGGCUGCCCAGUUAAUAGGACAAAUGCCUCCACAUUGUAAAAUAAACAGGAUUUGAAAUGCAGACAGUCUUAUUUUGCAGUUACAAGUUAUUUAAAAAUCUUUAUAAAGACCUAAUAAUAAAAGAAUAAAAUGUUUAACAACAACUCCACAAGAACGCAUUAGUCAUAAGGUACAUAUUAAUUAAGGCCUCUCUUCUACUUACUUCAACAGGUGGCCUAGGAAGGGGGUGGUCCCAUGAGCUCUAGCAGCCAGGGGCCCGGGACCUCACUCUGGGAGACAGCCAGGGCAAAGGAACCAGCUGACCUUUCUCUGGCGCAGAGUGGCCUGGUGAGAUCCAGAAUUAAACUUUCUCUCUACAAUGACCUGUUCAGACGGCAAAUAGAUCCAUCAUCUGGUUCUGGGCCCUGCGGAAGACACCCCCCCACCCCCCCACCCCCUCAGCCCCCCACCCCCCCACCCCGCCCACGACUGCGCGGUGCGCCAUUUACACCGACUCCGGCCCUUCAGCAGGUGGCGCUGUUUGCUCUAUUCCCGCCGCUUGGCGUUCCCUUCCUUUCUAGAGCACGGUCCCCUUCCUUUUUUUUCAGUCCAUAUGUAACGGCUGCCUCUUUUACAUCGUUGCUUGGGAGGUACUCUCCCAGUGAUCUUAGCACUGAGGAGGAGAAGCAAAUUAGCAACAUGGAACAACUCACGUUUUCAUGUUUGAUCUUUAAAGCCCUCAUCUCCUGA
rnacentral:lncRNA from 1 species